GAUUAGAUACCCUGGUAGUCCACGCCGUAAACGAUGGAUACUAGCUGUUGGAAGCAAUUUCAGUGGCUAAGCGAAAGUGAUAAGUAUCCCACCUGGGGAGUACGUUCGCAAGAAUGAAACUCAAAGGAAUUGACGGGGGCCCGCACAAGCGGUGGAGCAUGUGGUUUAAUUCGAUGAUACGCGAGGAACCUUACCAAGGCUUAAAUGUAGAUUGACCGUUUUGGAAACAGAACUUUCGCAAGACAAUUUACAAGGUGCUGCAUGGUUGUCGUCAGCUCGUGCCGUGAGGUGUCAGGUUAAGUCCUAUAACGAGCGCAACCCCUGUUGUUAGUUGCCAGCGAGUCAAGUCGGGAACUCUAACAAGACUGCCAGUGCAAACU
rnacentral:rRNA from 1 species